rnacentral:rRNA from 1 species
GUAGGUGGCAAGCGUUGUCCGGGAAUUAUUGGGGCGUAAAGCGCGCGCAGGCGGUUCUUUAAGUCUGAUGUGAAAGCCCACGGGCUCAACCGUGGAGGGUCAUUGGAAACUGGAGAACUUGAGUACAGAAGAGGAAAGCGGAAUUCCACGUGUAGCGGUGAAAUGCGUAGAGAUGUGGAGGAACACCUGUGGCGAAGGCGGCUUUCUGGUCUGUAACUGACGCUGAGGCGCGAAAGCGUGGGGAGCAAACAGGAUUAGAUACCCUGGUAGUCCACGCCGUAAACGAUGAGUGCUAAGUGUUAGGGGGUUUCCGCCCCUUAGUGCUGCAGCUAACGCAUUAAGCACUCCGCCUGGGGAGUACGGCCGCAAAGGCUGA